UACGUAGGGUGCAAGCGUUGUCCGGAAUUAUUGGGCGUAAAGAGCUCGUAGGCGGUCUGUCGCGUCGGCUGUGAAAACCCGGAGCUCAACUCCGGGCCUGCAGUCGAUACGGGCAAACUGGAGUACUGCAGGGGAGACUGGAAUUCCUGGUGUAGCGGUGAAAUGCGCAGAUAUCAGGAGGAACACCGGUGGCGAAGGCGGGUCUCUGGGCCGAUAUUGACGCUGAGGAGCGAAAGCCGUGGGGAGCGAACAGG
rnacentral:rRNA from 1 species